rnacentral:lncRNA from 1 species
CUGAAUGGGAACUCCACCUACUGCCUGUUGACCAAGCAUUAAAUAUUUUGGAGGUUCAAAAGCCUCUGAGCUUGUCAUAAUGGGCUUGCUUUCAGACCUCAAAAUCCCAGUACACCCUGAAACUAUGAUGCAGACAUUCAGAGGCAGCAGCACAAGAUUGCAGUUUUGGAAGUAAGUCACAUGAUAAAAUGGACUCGGUGUGGAGCUACCAUUUUUGGGUGAUACAGGCAACAGCAGAGGCAUCACCUUUCCACAACAGCAGUGACAGACGUGGCCCCGUAGUGGCUGCAGAAUCAAAAUUCCUAUCCCAGAACUGGCAGCAGCUAGACAGCUUAGUGGUGGAAGACUGACAGUUCUCAUAUAUGAUUUGAGGCAUAUUACUUGGAAGCUUAUCCUUAAGCCUGGCUCUCCAGCCUUCCUAAAAAUUCUGUGAAGCACCAAAUAUAUUUAAGUAAAUUUCCUAUGUGCUCAACCAGCCAGUAAACAACUUCUGCUGACUGAAAACACUGAAUCGUCCAAUCAUGAAGCCAAAAGAAUGUGGCUGUAUAACAAGAAAAAUAAAUCCAUGUAUCUACAGUAUGGAGUUAAAGUGCCAAGAAAAGUUGUCAAGGUAACUCUUGAUAGGUAAAGGUGAAGCAGAAUUAUACACAUCUUCAAACGCUCUGCUAAGUAAAGAGCCUGGCCUUCAUUCAGCAUGAAAUGUGGUAUCACUGAGCUUCCAAACAAAGGAGUGAAUGAUAUGAUCAAAAAAAUUGUACUUAAGAUGACU